rnacentral:SRP_RNA from 1 species
GCUGGGCAUGGUGGCUCAUGCCUGUAGUCUCAGCACUUUGGGAGGCCGAGGUAGGAGGAUCGCUUGAGGCCAGGAGUUCAAGACCAACCUGGCCAACAUAGCGAGACCUUAUCUCUU